rnacentral:rRNA from 1 species
AUGGAGCUCGCCGCCUCCGUGAACCGGCCUCCUCCUCUGCUCGCCGCCUUGCCUUCCGUCUGGAUCCGGCACCACCAUGGGCCGGCCUACCAGAUCUGUCGCCCCGCGUCCUUCCCCGACCCCCCCCCCUUGCUGCACCUCCUCGCCGGAUCGGACCACCACCGUUGUCGUGCCUUGCCUCGACCUCACCUAGGUCAGGGACGAGUCACCCUCGCCCGCUUGUCCCUGGCAGUGGGCCCGCGCGCCCGAGCCCGGACACGUCCGCUCGUCUCGGGACAUUCGCGGCUGUGCGACCGAGCCAGAUCCCGACCCCGACCCCGCUCGCCUUCUUCUUCAUUUCUUCCUGCUCCCUGCGUCGCCGUCGCCGUCGCCCGCCACCGCUGGCCGCCACACCACGCCGCUGCAGCCAUGGUUCUGGAGGACGAGAGCAGCGAUGACAACUCAAGCCUCCCCUACAUGUACUCCGAAACCUCCACCGAUGGGCUGAACCAGGUGCCUUUCUCACUUGAGGACCCGGAUUACAAGGGCCUUGAGCUAGAUCUGAUGGUGUUCUGCGAGAAGCAUGGGAAGCCAUCAGAGAGGCUUGUUGCGUUUGAAGGAACAAUGACUGGGAGAAGGUUCUUAGCAUGUGCUGAGCCGGUAGUCUCAUUAGCUAGCUUGUUGCUGCAGGCUAGUGUAGUGCAUUUACUCUGGUGCCUGGAAGGUCAGAAUUGUGGGUUUGUUCAGUGGGUUGAUGAGCAGUGGCCCCCAACAAUGGAGAAUGCAUUGUUGAAGCUUUGGUCAAUGGUUGAAGAGAGCAAGUGUGCUAGGGUGAAUGAUAAUCUUGAAAGUUCUUUAACUAUUCACCAUUUGAUAGAACAAAAGAACAAGCUGGAUGCAGACUAUGACAAGUUGGUGAAAGAUGUGCAUCAACUUGUCGAUAUCCAGGCUGAUAGGGUUGUGGAUUUUAGUUAUCUACAGUCCAACCUCACAUAUCAGCAGGAAUGCAGAGCUGAGUUGAUUGCUGGUAUGAAGGCAGAAAUGGCAAAGAAAGAUGCAGCUGCAGAGAAGGUUCAACAGAAGUAUGAAAUCCUGUGCAACCUGACAAGUGCUCAAGCAACUGUCAUCCAAAACCUAAAGUUGAAGAAUAUGAAAGAGAAGGAAUUGCUGAGUGAGGCUAGGAUGAAUUUGGAGUUGAAGAAUGCAGAGUUCACACAGUUUGAGGAGAAACUCACCCAAGAGAAGCUAGAGUUGAAGUUCCAGGUUGCUGAUCUGCUGAAGCUCAAGGAAAACUAUAAUGAAGAGAAGCAGAUGCAAGAGUUUAAGAUUACUGAGCUCAUGAAGGCACAGGAGAAGCUGAAGGAGAAGAUCAAGGGGAUCCAGGCCAUCUUGCAGAACUAA